GAUGAACGCUGGCGGCGUGCCUAAUACAUGCAAGUCGAACGAACAGACGAUGCUCUUGCUCCUCUCACGUUUGCGGCGGACGUGUGAGUAACACGUGUAUAACCUCCCUAUCAGUCUGGUAUCACUUCGGGAAACCGGAGCUAAUACCGUAUAAUCUCUUGCUCCGCAUGGUUCAAUAGUGAAAUUCGGUUUUUCUGUCUCUUCUCGCUGCUUCCGCGCCUCAUUAGCUAGUUGGUAAGGUCAUGGCUUAUCAAGGCGACCAUGCGUAGCCGAACUGAGAGGGUGAUAGGCCACACGGGAACUGAGACAGGGUCCAGAGGACUAAGGGAGGCAGCAGUAGGGAAUGGGAGGCAAUAGGCGAAAGCAUGACGGAGCAACGCGGCGUGAGAGAUGAAGGUGUUCGGAGCGUAAAAAUCUGUUAUUAGGGAAGAACAGAUGUGUAAGUAAAUAUGCACGUAGUGACGGUACCGAAUAAGAAAGCAACGGCUAACUACGUG
rnacentral:rRNA from 1 species